ACAUGAGAGGUGUAGCAUAAGUGGGAGCUGUGGUGCCCUCGGGCGCCGCUGUCGACGGUGAAAUACCAAUACUUUGAAUAGUUUCUUUACUUACUCGGUGAGGCGGAGGGCGUGCGCGGUCGUCGAUUCGUCGCGGCCGCGUCACGGUGUUCUGGUUCCAAGGGUGUCUGGGUCGCGGGCGCCACUGGGAGGACGGGCGCGUCGUGGGGUGGCGUGCGUGUCGCCUCGUGCGGCCGCGCGUUCGCUUCGCGGCUCGUUCGCUCCGUCCCUAGCCCGUGUUUAUCCCACCCGAUCCGAUUCGAGGACACCGCCAGGCUGGGAGUUUGACUGGGGCGGUACAUCUGUCAAAGAAUAACGCAGGUGUCCUAAGGCCAGCUCAGCGAGGACAGAAACCUCGCGUGGAGCAAAAGGGCAAAUGCUGGCUUGAUCCCGAUGCUCAGUACGCAUAGGGACUGCGAAAGCACGGCCUAUCGAUCCUUUUGGCUUGGGGAGUUUCCAGCAAGAGGUGUCAGAAAAGUUACCACAUGGAAACUGGCUUGUGGCGGCCAAGCGCUCCAUAGCGACGUCGCUUUUUGAUCCUUUCG
rnacentral:rRNA from 1 species